rnacentral:rRNA from 1 species
UCAAUAAGCGGAGGAAAAGAAACUAACCAGGAUUCCCUUAGUAACGGCGAGCGAACCGGGAAUAGCCCAACUUGAAAAUCUCCCUCUGGAGAAUUGUAGUCUAUAGAAGCGCCCUCUGUAGCAGGCAAAGCCCAAGUUCGCUGGAAGGCGACGUCAGAGAGGGUGAGAACCCCGUCGGCUUUGUCCCCGCUGCCCCACGAGGUGCUUUCCACGAGUCGGGUUGUUUGGGAAUGCAGCCCUAAUUAGGUGGUAAAUCCCAUCUAAGGCUAAAUACUGGCGAGAGACCGAUAGCGAACAAGUACCUUGAGGGAAAGAUGAAAAGAACUUUGAAAAGAGAGUUAAAAAGUGCUUGAAAUUGUUGAGGGGGAAGCGGUUGGACGUCGUAGGUGCGCCUAGGCUUACGCGCCUCUAACGAGUCGCUGAAUGUGCUAGGCGCUGGUCAGCAUGGGUUGGUCGGGCGGGAUAACAGCCGGGGUUGAUACCUGGUCUAUGCCGCCUGGUCGACCAAGGAGUCAAGGUCGCCCUGUCCUUCGGGAACUGCGUCCUAAAGAUGCUGGCAGAAGACUUUCAACCGGCCCGUCUUGAAACACGGACCAAGGAGUCUAACAUGUAUGCGAGUUGGUGGGUUGUAAACCCAUGAGCGCAAGUAACCUGACUGAUGGGAUGGCUUAUGCCUGCACCAUCGACCGACCAUGAGCUUCUGCGAAAGGUUUGAGUGCGAGCAUACCUGUUGGGACCCGAAAGAUGGUGAACUAUGCCUGAGCAGAGCGAAGCCAGAGGAAACUCUGGUGGAGGCUCGUAGAUGUGCUGACGUGCAAAUCGCUUUUCGGACUUGGGUAUAGGGGCGAAAGACUAAUCGAACCAUCUAGUAGCUGGUUCCCUCCGAAGUUUCCCCCAGGAUAGCUGGAGCUUGAUUCAGUUUUAUCGGGUAAAGCGAAUGAUUAGAGGUUCGGGGGAUGAAACAUCCUUCACCUAUUCUCAAACUUUAAAUAGGUAAGACGCGCUGGUUGCUUGACUGAACCAGCGCAUUCAAUGUGAGCUCCAAGUGGGCCAUUUUUGGUAAGCAGAACUGGCGAUGCGGGAUGAACCGAUAGUCGAGUUAAGGUGCCUAACUGCGCGCUAACCUAGAUCCCACAAAGGGUGUUGAUUGAUAUAGACAGCAGGACGGUGGUCAUGGAAGUCGAAAUCCGCUAAGGAGUGUGUAACAACUCACCUGCCGAAUCAAUUAGCCCCGAAAAUGGAUGGCGCUGAAGCGCGCGACCUAGACUCGGCCAUAGAAGCAAGUGCGAGGCUUCUAUGAGUAGGAGGGCGUGGGUGUCGAUGCGCAGCCUUGGGCGUGAGCCUGGGUGAAUCGGCAUCUAGUGCAGAUCUUGGUGGUAGUAGCAAAUAUUCAAAUGAGAACUUUGAAGACUGAAGUGGAGAAAGGUUCCAUGUGAACAGCAAUUGGACAUGGGUUAGUCGAUCCUAAGAGAUGGGGUAAUCCUGUGUAAAGAGCGCGAUUCGCGCUGCCCAUCGAAAGGGAAAAGGGUUAAGAUUCCCUUACCUGGACAGGGCGGCUGACGGUAACGUAAGCGAGCCCGGAGACAUCGGCAUCGGCCCUGGGAAGAGUUCUCUUUUCUUUUUAACAGCUCGAAGGCCCUGGAAUCGAAUCAUUCGGAGAUAGGGCUCAGAAGCUGGUAAAGCACCGCACUUCUCGCGGUGUCCGGCGCGCCGAUGACGGUCCUUGAAAAUCCGGGGGAGCGGCUACCGAUCCUGCCAGGUCGUACUCAUAACCGCAUCAGGUCUCCAAGGUGAACAGCCUCUAGUCGAUAGAACAAUGUAGAUAAGGGAAGUCGGCAAAAUGGAUCCGUAACUUCGGGAAAAGGAUUGGCUCUGAGGGUUGGGCCUAGGGGUCUGCGUGCAGAAACCGAGGACUGUCGGCUGUCUGUCGAGCUGGGUAACUGGCGAGAUGGACGGCUGCGUGACUUCGGCGGACGCGCGUAGAAGCUUCGGCGUUCCCUAGGCGACGAACAACCGACUCAGA